GGGUAUCCGGCCUGAGAGGGUGUACGGCCACAUUGGACUGAGAUACGGCCCAGACUCCUACGGGAGGCAGCAUGGGGAAUAUUGCACAAUGGUCGGAAGCCUGAUGCAGCGACGCCGCGUGGGGGAUGAAGGCCUUCGGGUUGUAAACUCCUUUCGACAGGGACGAAGCGUAAGUGACGGUACCUGUAUAAGAAGCACCGGCUAACUACGUGCCAGCAGCCGCGGUAAUACGUAGGGUGCGAGCGUUGUCCGGAAUUACUGGGCGUAAAGAGCUCGUAGGUGGUUUGUCGCGUCGUCUGUGAAAUUCCGGGGCUUAACUCCGGGCGUGCAGGCGAUACGGGCUGACUUGAGUGCUGUAGGGGAGACUGGAAUUCCUGGUGUAGCGGUGAAAUGCGCAGAUAUCAGGAGGAACACCGAUGGCGAAGGCAGGUCUCUGGGCAGUAACUGACGCUGAGGAGCGAAAGCAUGGGUAGCGAACAGGAUUAGAUACCUGGUAGUCCAUGCCGUAAACGGUGGGCGCUAGGUGUAGGGGGCUUCCACGUCUCCUGUGCCGUAGCUAACGCAUUAAGCGCCCCGCCUGGGGAGUACGCCGCA
rnacentral:rRNA from 1 species